rnacentral:rRNA from 1 species
CAAUAGCGUAUAUUAAAGUUGUUGCAGUUAAAAAGCUCGUAGUUGGAUUUCUGGUGGGAGCGAUCGGUCUGGCGCUUAGCGCGAGUACUUGCAUCGUCUCCGGCCAUCCUUGGGGAGAGUCUGUCUGGCAUUAGGUUGUCGGGCAGAGGAUCCUCAUCGUUUACUGUGAAAAAAUUAGAGUGUUCAAAGCAGGCUUAUGCCGUUGAAUAUAUUAGCAUGGAAUAAUAAGAUAGGACUUUGGUACUAUUUUGUUGGUUUGCGCACCAAAGUAAUGAUUAAUAGGGACAGUUGGGGGUAUUCGUAUUCCGUUGUCAGAGGUGAAAUUCUUGGAUUUACGGAAGACGAACUACUGCGAAAGCAUUUACCAAGGAUGUUUUCACUAA